GAGCGGCCGUCGGUGCAGAUCUU
rnacentral:snRNA from 1 species